ACCGUACUCCUACGGGAGGCAGCAGUGGGGAAUUUUGGACAAUGGGGGCAACCCUGAUCCAGCAAUGCCGCGUGAGUGAAGAAGGCCUUCGGGUUGUAAAGCUCUUUUGUCAGGGAAGAACCGGUAGUAGCUAAUAUCUAUUACUAAUGACGGUACCUGAAGAAUAAGCACCGGCUAACCACGUGCCAGCAGCCGCGGUAAUACGUAGGGUGCAAGCGUUAAUCGGAAUUACUGGGCGUAAAGCGUGCGCAGGCGGUUGUGUAAGUCAGAUGUGAAAUCCCCGGGCUCAACCUGGGAAUUGCAUUUGAGGCUGCACGGCUAGAGUGUGUCAGAGGGGGGUAGAAUUCCACGUGUAGCAGUGAAAUGCGUAGAUAUGUGGAGGAAUACCGAUGGCGAAGGCAAUCCCCUGGGCCUGCACUGACGCUCAUGCACGAAAGCGUGGGGAGCAAACAGGAUUAGAAACCCCAGUAGUCCUUGAC
rnacentral:rRNA from 1 species